rnacentral:rRNA from 1 species
UAGGGAAUCUUCCACAAUGGACGCAAGUCUGAUGGAGCAACGCCGCGUGAGUGAAGAAGGUUUUCGGAUCGUAAAGCUCUGUUGUUGGUGAAGAAGGAUAGAGGUAGUAACUGGCCUUUAUUUGACGGUAAUCAACCAGCAAGUCACGGCUAACUACGUGCCAGCAGCCGCGGUAAUACGUAGGUGGCAAGCGUUGUCCGGAUUUAUUGGGCGUAAAGCGAGCGCAGGCGGAAGAAUAAGUCUGAUGUGAAAGCCCUCGGCUUAACCGAGGAACUGCAUCGGAAACUGUUUUUCUUGAGUGCAGAAGAGGAGAGUGGAAUUCCAUGUGUAGCGGUGGAAUGCGUAGAUAUAUGGAAGAACACCAGUGGCGAAGGCGACUCUCUGGUCUGCAACUGACGCUGAGGCUCGAAAGCAUGGGUAGCGAACAGG